rnacentral:rRNA from 1 species
UACGGAGGGUGCGAGCGUUAAUCGGAAUGACUGGGCGUAAAGCGUGCGUAGGUGGUAACGUUAGUCGGCCGUGAAAGCCCUGGGCUUAACCUGGGAAUGGCGGUUGAAACGGCGUAACUGGAGUGGGCUAGAGGACUGUGGAACUCCCGGUGUAGCGGUGAAAUGCGUAGAGAUCGGGAAGAACACCGAUGGCGAAGGCAGCGGUCUGGGGCCACACUGACGCUGAGGCACGAAAGCGUGGGGAGCAAACAGGAUUAGAAACCCUCGUAGUCC